AGUUGCAAUAUUAUGCUAUGCGCAGAAUUUAAUACUAUAUGAACAAACAGAGGAAAAGAGUAUUUUAUUUUCGUGCCCCUGAUUUAGAUAGAAAUUUAGGAUGACAAGAGAAGCAUAAAAUUUCACUAGUGUAUAAAAGAAGAUUUAGAUUUUAUCUGCCUUCAAAUUGUUCAAUCUGUAUCCAAUAUAUCACUUGAUGAUUCACCCUUAAUGUCUGAUUGCAGGUGCCUGAUGCAUAAAUUAGGCAAUCCGCUACAGGAACAUGUGUACAGAGAAUAAAAUAAGUUGGCUCAUGCACUGGCACGGAUGAAUGCAACUAUUUGAGAACCUCCUGCAUCCGUAAAGAAUAUUUUGAGAUCUGAUAAAAAUGGAGAUUUGAGUUGCCGAAGGGUCAAAAUAGAUACAUUUGACUAAUUUUAGUUUAAUACUACUGACCGUAGUUGUCAGGUAGUAAAUACCAGCGCUAGCUGUGCUGUUACUACUGCUGAUGUUUGUAACGUUGGGUUGUCAACAUACAAUUUCCAUGUAAGACGUUGAAGCAUAUAUACAUCGUGUUUACCAAAAGAAAAAAGGGUGAUCAAAGUAGAAUCGAAAAUCAAAUCAAAUUAUAGAGUCAAAUCUAAUUAAUGAUUUGAUUGAACUUGAUUUAGUUUUGAAAAAAAUCCGACUAUAAUUGAUUUGGCUUGGUUUUAAUUAAAAAAA
rnacentral:lncRNA from 1 species